GGCAGAGCCCGGUAAUCGCAUAAAACUUAAAACUUUACAGUCAGAGGUUCAAUUCCUCUUCUU
rnacentral:tRNA from 1 species